rnacentral:lncRNA from 10 species
GGAACAGCCCAGCAAGGACUGGCUGCAGUUCUGGAUCCCCUGAGACUUCUAGGAGGAGGAAUAUAGAGACAUCUGUUAGAUUCUGUGGGUCUGCAUAAUUUGGACACCUUUGCCUAGAAACGAGGGUUGAAAAAUGGGAAACAAGUAAACCAACACCUGGCAUUGUGUCUGCAUUUUGAAUAGAAGCAAUUCACAAGUAAUGUUUUCAGAUUUCAGAGCAAUCCACACUCAGCAAUAUUUUGCAGUUCUGACAGACUCAAUUGUCUUCUAAUGCUUUCAUCAUUGAUUUCUGUGUUAUUCACUUCUUGCUGUACACACCUGCCUUAGAGACACUAGAUUCAAGAAUGUUCCAAGAACCAGAUCAUCAUACAUAACAAAUUCGUAACUGCUAGAAAAUACAGCCUAUCUUUUCCGAAGAAAACUAUGUAAUAAAACCAUUCUCUUCACUUGAAGAAAAAGGUUAUCCUAAUUAAAGGAAAUUAAGAACUCAAAUAUUUUAUUCUACUAGAUUGAUGAAUUCCCUUGAUUUAGAACAUUUAUAAACACUGUAGAACAGCUGAGACCAUGUCAUCUGGAAAUGAAAUUAAAGUUGAUAGUUCAUAAGCAGAAAAUAAUUCCACAUGCCAGUUAGGUCCUAGUGAUUUCAUCAUUAUGUUUUCUGACUUUUCUCCUUCAAGAGAGUAAUUGCUUACUCAAAUCGGUGGGUCUGGUUUUAAAAUUCAUGGAAGCUGUAACUCCUGUCCUUAGCUUAGGUGGACUUAGAGUUUUCAUCAGAAAGUUUGGCCAGAUGCGGUGGCUCACGCCUGUAGUCCCAGCACUUUGGGAGGCUGAGGAGGGCGGAUCACGGGGUCAGGAGAUCAAGACCAUCCUGGCCAACAUGGCGAAACCCCGCCUCUACUGAAAAUACAAAAACUUCGCCCGGUAUGGUGAUGCGCGCCUGUAGUCCCAGCUACUCGGGAAGCUGAGGCGGGAGAAUGGCUUGAACCUGGGACGCAGAGGCUACAGUGAGCCGAGAUCACACCACUGCACUCCAGCCUGGGCAACAAGAGCAAAACUCCGUCUCAAAAAACAAAAAAACAAGAGGAAUCAAGUAAGUCAAAGUUACACUUAUGACAGCCAAUUUUUGUGAACCAAGGAAGUGUGAAUUCAAGAAUUCACAUAGAUGUUGACUUUGGCUAUCUCCUAUGUGCCAAGCAAGAUAUAGGCUCUAGGGAAUUAUUAAUUCAGCUUAUUAAAUCUCCCAGUUCUUUUCAAUACAGAGACUAUUUACAUGAGAAAACUUAAGUUAAAAAUAUGUUACAAAAACUACCAUUAAGUGAUGUUGUCUCAUUUAUGAAACCACCUAAUUGCUUUAGGCAUCUUUCAAAAAUUUCAACUUAUCCUGAAGUUUCAAUUUACAUACAGAAUAUCACCCACAUUUUUGUUAUUUUUCAGUUUCCUCUCAAUGAAUGGAAUCAUCAAACUUUUUAUCCUUUUUUUUUUUUGAGAUGGAAUCUCGCUCUGUUGCCCAGGGUAGAGUGCAGUGGCGCAAUCACAGUUCACUGCAGCCUCGACCUCUGAGGCUCAAGCGAUCCUCCCACCUCAGCCUCCCAGGUAGCUGGGACUACAGGCAUGCACCAUGAUACAUGGCUAACUUUUAUAAAAUUUUUUGUAGAGAUGGGGCCUUCCUAUAUUGCCCAGAUUGGUCCUGAACUCCUGGGCUCAAGCAAUCCUCCCGCCUUAGCCUCCCAGAAUGCUGAAAUUACAGGUGUGAUUCACAGUGCCCUGUCUCGCUGAAACUUUUAAAUCAUAAAAUUAUCUGCAUUCUGUACAUUCCUUGAGCACAUAGACACACUUUUUCAUCAAUGGGGACACAUUCCUACUAUAAGGCUGAGAAAAGAGAAGGGAGUUCAAUACUUACUGAAUAAAUGUAGGCAUAAACCUCACUACCUGUUUCAAAGGCCUCAUUAUUUUCUUCUCUAAGACAAAUACAGAGUCACUUUGCAGUCAUUUACAGAUUUCUCUUUAAACAACCCUGAGCCUAGAGAUAGGCGUAAGUGGUUGGACUCUGAGUUGAGAAAGAAUGCCAUGCUUACCUUGUACAUGCUGUAGCACUGCUGCAGCACCGAGCUAUAAACCUUGUCCUACACACACGAAAACAUAGCACACAUAUCAGUUCAAGGGAAAAACAAUGUCUACUGGAUAGAUGGCAAAGGUACACUGACUCUUGGCCAAACAGGAUAAUGUUUACAAACUUGGUCCCACCAUAGUCGUGUGCUGAUAAAAAGUGUUUGCGUUCUUUUUUUUUGGAGAUGGAGUCUCGCUCUGUUGUCCAGGUUGGAGUGCAGUGAUGCAAUCUUGGCUCACUGCAACCUUUGCGUCCCCGGUUCAAGCGAUUCUCCUGCCUCAGCCUCCCAAGUAGCUGGGAUGACACGUGUGCGCCACCAUCCCUGGCCAGUUUUUGUAGUUUUAGUAGAGACAGGGUUCCGCCACAUUGGCCAGGCUGGUCUUGAACCCCUGACCUCAAGUGAUCUGCCUGCCUCGACCUCCCAAAGUACUAGGAUUACAGGUGUGAGCCACUGUUCCCAGCCAGAAGUGUUUAAACUCUAAUUUGUGAAUCAGUAAGCCUUACUUUAGGAGGGCUUUCAAUACAGAUGAGGAAUAGAAGGUAUUAGUGAGAUAGGGUGCAUAUACAUUUUAAAAAGAUUAUGCUCAUGUAAAUGAUAAACAUAAACCUGUGCUAUAUACCCCGAGAAACUUCCACAAAAGCCACCUAGUUUAAAUCUGACCAAGGAAGGCAUUCAACAUACUCAGCAAUACAUUUAAAUAAAUAAAUAAAUAAAUAAACAAUGACACGUUACCAACAACUCCUCCUCUUGAUAUUCAAUAACUGGUUUUCCAUCUUUACUGUUUUUCAAUUAUAGGAUUCCGAACAACCUACAAAGUUUGAUAAACUGAAAUUAUACAAUGAAUUCAUUAGACCAUGUUUAUUUUGCCUUAGUUUAAAAACUUUGCACAUGCUACAGCACCAGAAACACAGCUUCUUAAAGCAGCCCCAAGAACGAAUAAAGCAAACAGGAAGAACUUGAUUUUAAAACUGCAACGAAUUUUAUUUUAAUUUUACUUGGAUGCAAUAGCCAGAGAACUUUGCUAAAUUCUGAAUAGUAAAGAUCACCCAUAACUUCACCAUACAAUUUCAGAAAGAUACACUGUGUAUGUAAAUACCAUGACCAUCCAGAAAUUUUCUUCUGGUUCAUUAAAGAACUGUCUGUUCUUCUGCGUAUGUAAAGAUUUUGCAGGUUUUGAUGGGCUAAAGGUCCUACAAAGGUUAAAAAAAUAUGUUUGGGACAAUUCUCCAGCAGCAGUUUUAAGAAUUCACUGAACUCUAAAGGCACACUUAGAGGUAUUACCUUGUAAACUGUACAAUGCUAAUGACAAAACCAAAGAAAAACCGGUUUUAGAAAAACAGGAAUUGUAAUCCUAGCACUUUGAGAGGCCGAGGUGAGAGGAUCACCUGAGCUCAGGAGUUCAAGACCAGCCUGGGCAACACCGUGAGACCUCGUCUCUAUUUAAAAUAAUAACAGGAAUUAUCUCAUCAUUGUGCAAAUACUGCCCAACAGUCAGAAGGCAAUUUCGAUAGUCAAUAAGUCACAUCUGAAGUAGCACCAGGUAAUUUUUAUGAAAACUCAAGUCUCCAUAUUUCUUUCCUAGAGCUAAUCUGUAAUACACCAAUGCUUGUAAGAAAUAAAGGUUUGCACAUCUGCAGACACAUAGCUCCCUGAAAAUUAAAUCCAGCCAGUUCCCAAGCAUUUGAACUGACGAGUUUUUUUUUUUUUUCUUUUUCUGGAGAUGGGGUCUCUGUCACCCAGGCUGUAGUGCAGUGGCCCAAUUACAGCUCACCUGCAGCCUCAAUCACAAGCGAUCCUCUGGCCUCAGCCUCCUGAGUAGCUGGAAAUACAGGUGCGUGCCACCACACCUGGCUCAUUUUUCGAUUUUUUUUUUUUUUUUUUUUUUUUUUUUGGUAGAGUCGGGGGUCUUGCUUUGUUGCCCAGGCUGGUCUGGAACUCCUGGCUCCAAGUAAUCCUCCCAUCUCGGCCUCCUAAAGUGCUGGGAUUACAGGCGUGAGUUACAGCGCCCAGCCUGGACAGUCUUUAAAAGAACUCUGACUUGCUGGUAACGAAACACAGCUCCGGACAUCCUUUGAGAAAGUCGCCGUCCCCACCUCAGAAAACACACACACACACACACGUGUCCCGGAACUUACACACACACACACGUGUCCCGUAACUAACUUACACACACACACACACACGUGUCCCGGAACUAAUUUUCCUCAUUUGGGUGAAAACUUUUACAGGGUCCUCCAGGCUUGCAUCAUUUGAAGGCUAGCGUCUGCCACUCUGCUUCCACGCUUCUAGUUGGGGACUACCCACUUAACAAAGCCAAGUUCAAUUUUAAUUUCCCAGAACUGACGCAACGCAAAGCGCAAAGAGACUGAACCUGGGGUGUGGAGUGAUACAGACCUGACGGGGCUUUAUUCCAUAGACAGACAUCGACCCAGGACCUGAAGCGGUCCCUGCCUGCUGUCAGGUCCCCGCCGCAGCCCCCGGCCCGGGCUCAGCACCUGGCACAACGCAGGCUAGGUCAGUGCCGCUCGAGGUGGGCAGAACCACAGGGCCGCCGCCCCUGGGGGGCACCGACGCCGCCCGCUCACGCGCCGCCCCCUCCGCAUACCUCUCCUUCCCGCGGCCAGAAGCGCGGGUUGUAGAUGAAGAAACUCAGCAGCGCCGGCAGGAACUGCUUCUCCUGGGCCGCCGAGGGCCCGCUCCCAGCCCCGGCCGCCGCUGCAGCCAUCCCGGCCGGGUCCCCACCUCGGGAGCCUCCCACAGCCAGCCCAGAGAAAGCAGCCACCUGCUAGAACACCGCACUUCCGC